CAGAAAAUAGUUAAAUUAAUAUUAGUUUUGGAUACUAAAGAUAGGGAUAGCCUUUUUCUGA
rnacentral:tRNA from 1 species